rnacentral:rRNA from 2 species
AGUCGAACGAACUCUGGUAUUGAUUGGUGCUUGCAUCAUGAUUUACAUUUGAGUGAGUGGCGAACUGGUGAGUAACACGUGGGAAACCUGCCCAGAAGCGGGGGAUAACACCUGGAAACAGAUGCUAAUACCGCAUAACAACUUGGACCGCAUGGUCCGAGUUUGAAAGAUGGCUUCGGCUAUCACUUUUGGAUGGUCCCGCGGCGUAUUAGCUAGAUGGUGGGGUAACGGCUCACCAUGGCAAUGAUACGUAGCCGACCUGAGAGGGUAAUCGGCCACAUUGGGACUGAGACACGGCCCAAACUCCUACGGGAGGCAGCAGUAGGGAAUCUUCCACAAUGGACGAAAGUCUGAUGGAGCAACGCCGCGUGAGUGAAGAAGGGUUUCGGCUCGUAAAACUCUGUUGUUAAAGAAGAACAUAUCUGAGAGUAACUGUUCAGGUAUUGACGGUAUUUAACCAGAAAGCCACGGCUAACUACGUGCCAGCAGCCGCGGUAAUACGUAGGUGGCAAGCGUUGUCCGGAUUUAUUGGGCGUAAAGCGAGCGCAGGCGGUUUUUUAAGUCUGAUGUGAAAGCCUUCGGCUCAACCGAAGAAGUGCAUCGGAAACUGGGAAACUUGAGUGCAGAAGAGGACAGUGGAACUCCAUGUGUAGCGGUGAAAUGCGUAGAUAUAUGGAAGAACACCAGUGGCGAAGGCGGCUGUCUGGUCUGUAACUGACGCUGAGGCUCGAAAGUAUGGGUAGCAAAACAGGAUUAGAUACCCUGGUAG